GGCCUUGUAGUGUAGUGGUCAACAUACUUGCUUUGGGAUCCACAAGUGCAAGUGGCCUGGGUUCGAAUCCCAGCAAGGCCC
rfam:Plicaturopsis crispa FD-325 SS-3 unplaced genomic scaffold PLICRscaffold_4, whole genome shotgun sequence.